GUGGGGAAUCUUAGACAAUGGGCGCAAGCCUGAUCUAGCCAUGUCGCGUGAGCGAUGAAGGCCUUAGGGUUGUAAAGCUCUUUCAGCUGGGAAGAUAAUGACGGUACCAGCAGAAGAAGCCCCGGCUAACUCCGUGCCAGCAGCCGCGGUAAUACGGAGGGGACUAGCGUUGUUCGGAAUUACUGGGCGUAAAGCGCACGUAGGCGGAUCAGAAAGUCAGAGGUGAAAUCCCAGGGCUCAACCUUGGAACUGCCUUUGAAACUCCUGAUCUUGAGGUCGAGAGAGGUGAGUGGAAUUCCGAGUGUAGAGGUGAAAUUCGUAGAUAUUCGGAGGAACACCAGUGGCGAAGGCGGCUCACUGGCUCGAUACUGACGCUGAGGUGCGAAAGCGUGGGGAGCAAACAGGAUUAGAUACCCGAGUAGUCC
rnacentral:rRNA from 1 species